rnacentral:miRNA from 1 species
UAUCUUAUUGUCUGGGGCUCAGA